rnacentral:rRNA from 1 species
AGUGGGGGAUAGCCCGGCGAAAGCCGGAUUAAUACCGCAUACGAUCUACGGAUGAAAGCGGGGGACCUUCGGGCCUCGCGCUAUAGGGUUGGCCGAUGGCUGAUUAGCUAGUUGGUGGGGUAAAGGCCUACCAAGGCGACGAUCAGUAGCUGGUCUGAGAGGACGACCAGCCACACUGGGACUGAGACACGGACCAGACUCCUACGGGAGGCAGCAGUGGGGAAUUUUGGACAAUGGGCGAAAGCCUGAUCCAGCAAUGCCGAGUGUGUGACGAAGGCCUUCGGGUUGUAAAGCACUUUUGUCCGGAAAGAAAUCCUUGGUUCCUAAUAUAGCCGGGGGAUGACGGUACCGGAAGAAUAAGCACCGGCUAACUACGUGCCAGCAGCCUGCGGUAAUACGUAGGGUGCGAGCGUUAAUCGCGAAUUACUGGGCGUAAAGCGUGCGCAGGCGGUUUGCUAAGACCGAUGUGAAAUCCCCGGGCUCAACCUGGGAACUGCAUUGGUGACUGGCAGGCUAGAGUAUGGCAGAGGGGGGUAGAAUUCCACGUGUAGCAGUGAAA